CUUCGUCUUCUCCCCUGUUUCGCCACCAGUGAGCUCUGUUGGUGUUACAUUUCUUCCCAUCUCUCACCGUUCCGGCGGCGGCUCUAACCCUACCUCCUGGGCGGGCGGCCAACGCCACCAACGGAAGAGGGACGCUAGCUUGUCGGCGGGCGACGGACGCCACCAUCGAAGUCGCCAGAUCUCCUGGUACGCACCAAAGCUCGCUUCUUCCAGGGUCCUCUCUUGGCCUAAUCCAAAAUCCCUAGAUGCCCGACCAGUACAAGAACUGCAUUAACCUCGCGUUUUCUGUUUUUCUUUGCUUCUGAUCCGCUCCGUGCCUGACCCGAUUCGCGCGAAGAUGGACGUCGGCGGCAGAGACGGCGGGAGCAGCAUCAAGAAGUGGGACAUCAUCUACCCGGUGUACCUCAACUCCAAGAAGACUGUCGCCGAGGGCCGCCGCAUUGCCGCCGCCAAGGCAUGCGCCGACCCAACCUGCAACGAGAUCUUGGACAGCUGCGCCUACCUCAAGAUCCCUUGCAAGAUUGAGAUUUUUCUAGGUGUUGAUGUAUUCAGCAGGACAAGGCGUAUCCGCGAGAUUUCUUUCAGAGGGGGAGGGUGAGGGUGCAGCUCAAGAAUGAAGCCGGAUCCCCAGUCAAUCCUGCAAUUAGAACAAGUGAUUUAUCUGUAGGCGAAUUGAGAAGAUGUGGUUUCUAGAACUAUCAGGUUGUGCUACAGCGUCACUUCGAACCAGCUGAUUUGGGUACACGCCAACUUCAGACAAAGAUGACGAUCCAGGAUAUACUUUUUUUUUUAUAAUGGAUCCAGGAUAUACUGGCCCUGAUAUCUUGAUUUUCUACAUAUAUUAGCGCCUGUAUACAGAGAUUUCAUGUUGUUGGAUGACCCAUUAAGUUAUUGCAUGUUGCUGCCAUGUUUCACUCA